AACGAACGCUGGCGGCAUGCCUAACACAUGCAAGUCGAACGAGACCUUCGGGUCUAGUGGCGCACGGGUGCGUACCACCUGGUAACCAGCCCUUAGGUUCGGAAUAACUCAGUGAAAUUUGACCUAAUACCGGAUGAUGUCUUCGCACCAAAGAUUUAUCGCCUUUAGAUGGGCCCGCGUUGGUUUAGCUAGUUGGUGGGGUAAAGGCCUACCAAGGCGACGAUCCAUAGCUGGUCUGUGAGGAUGAUCCGCCACACUGGGGAUGCGACACGGCCCAGACUGCGACGCGAGGGAGGAGUGGGGAAUAUUGGAGAAGGGGCGAAAGUCUGAUACAGCAAUGCCGCGUGAGUGAUGAAGGCGUUAGGGUUGUAAAGCUCUUUUAGCCGAGAUGAUAAUGACAGUAACGGGAGAAUAAGCACCGGCUAACUACGUG
rnacentral:rRNA from 1 species